UACGUAGGGUGCAAGCGUUGUCCGGAAUUAUUGGGCGUAAAGAGCUCGUAGGCGGUCUGUCGCGUCGGAUGUGAAAAUCCAGGGCUCAACCCUGGACCUGCAUUCGAUACGGGCAGACUAGAGUUCGGCAGGGGAGACUGGAAUUCCUGGUGUAGCGGUGAAAUGCGCAGAUAUCAGGAGGAACACCGGUGGCGAAGGCGGGAUCCUGGGCCAGUACUGACGCUGAGGAGCGAAAGCGUGGGGAGCAAACAGG
rnacentral:rRNA from 1 species